rnacentral:rRNA from 1 species
UUCCUACGGGCGGCUGCAGUGGGGAAUAUUGCACAAUGGGCGAAAGCCUGAUGCAGCAACGCCGCGUGAGCGAUGAAGGCCUUUGGGUCGUAAAGCUCUGUCCUUGGGGAAGAAUAAAUGACGGUACCCUUGGAGGAAGCCCCGGCUAACUACGUGCCAGCAGCCGCGGUAAUACGUAGGGGGCAAGCGUUAUCCGGAAUUAUUGGGCGUAAAGAGUGCGUAGGUGGUUUUGUAAGCGCGGGGUGAAAGGCAAUAGCUCAACUAUUGUAAGCCCUGCGAACUGCAAGACUUGAGUGCAGGAGAGGAAAGUGGAAUUCCUAGUGUAGCGGUGAAAUGCGUAGAUAUUAGGAGGAACACCAGUGGCGAAGGCGACUUUCUGGACUGUAACUGACACUGAGGCACGAAAGCGUGGGGAGCAAACAGGAUUAGAUACCCGGGUAGUCGC